rnacentral:lncRNA from 1 species
UGGGCGGCGACUGGGGUGGCGGUGAUGUAUCCUAACUUGAUGCAUUUAGGCAAGAGUCGUUAUUAACUCUUAGAUUUGUUCGUGGGAUGAACGGCUUGUUAUUUUACGCCCGAUCCCCCUUUGGAUGCCAGAGUCUGGGGGCCAAUAGGAGUCCUUACCAUCAGAUUAGGGGCAUCGUCCGAACAGGAGGGGUUCAAUCGGUUGGCUUGAAUUGGUCAGUCUGC